rnacentral:rRNA from 1 species
UACGGAGGGUGCAAGCGUUGUUCGGAAUUACUGGGCGUAAAGGGCGCGUAGGCGGUCUUGCAAGUCCCGUGUGAGAUCCCUCGGCUCAACUGAGGAACUGCACGGGAAACUGCUUGGCUUGAGUUCGGGAGAGGGAAGCGGAGUUCCGGGUGUAGCGGUGAAAUGCGUAGAUAUCCGGAGGAACACCGGUGGCGAAGGCGGCUUCCUGGACCGACACUGACGCUGAGGCGCGAAAGCUAGGGGAGCAAACGGG